rnacentral:rRNA from 1 species
UACGUAGGUCCCGAGCGUUGUCCGGAUUUAUUGGGCGUAAAGCGAGCGCAGGUGGUUUAUUAAGUCUGGUGUAAAAGGCAGUGGCUCAACCAUUGUAUGCAUUGGAAACUGGUAGACUUGAGUGCAGGAGAGGAGAGUGGAAUUCCAUGUGUAGCGGUGAAAUGCGUAGAUAUAUGGAGGAACACCGGUGGCGGAAGCGGCUCUCUGGCCUGUAACUGACGCUGAGGUUCGAAAGCGUGGGUAGCAAACAGG